UGACGAUCAGUCAAUGCGAUGGUGGUUCAUGCCAACUUGGUUUCAGCAAGAGAUUUUGGAGUUCAACAAAUCAGCAGACGAGCUGUACUGUACAUAUCUACAGGAAUGUAAAGUAGGAGGUAAUAUAAAAAAGUGUGAGAAGAUAUUCGUGCCAAUGUGGCACGAUGAGCAUUGGUAUAUGUGUGUGGUGGACAUGGGAAGCGAAGAAGUAUUAAUUUAUGAUUCA